CAGUCGAGCGAGUCUGCCUUGAAGAUCGGAGUGCUUGCACUCUGUGAAACAAGAUACAGGCUAGCGGCGGACGGGUGAGUAACACGUGGGUAACCUGCCCAAGAGAUCGGGAUAACACCUGGAAACAGAUGCUAAUACCGGAUAACAACAGAUGAUGCCUAUCAACUGUUUAAAAGAUGGUUCUGCUAUCACUCUUGGAUGGACCUGCGGUGCAUUAGCUAGUUGGUAGGGUAACGGCCUACCAAGGCGAUGAUGCAUAGCCGAGUUGAGAGACUGAUCGGCCACAUUGGGACUGAGACACGGCCCAAACUCCUACGGGAGGCAGCAGUAGGGAAUCUUCCACAAUGGACGCAAGUCUGAUGGAGCAACGCCGCGUGAGUGAAGAAGGGUUUCGGCUCGUAAAGCUCUGUUGUUGGUGAAGAAGGACGGGGGUAGUAACUGACCUUUGUUUGACGGUAAUCAAUUAGAAAGUCACGGCUAACUACGUGCCAGCAGCCGCGGUAAUACGUAGGUGGCAAGCGUUGUCCGGAUUUAUUGGGCGUAAAGCGAGUGCAGGCGGUUCGAUAAGUCUGAUGUGAAAGCCUUCGGCUCAACCGGAGAAUUGCAUCAGAAACUGUCGAGCUUGAGUACAGAAGAGGAGAGUGGAACUCCAUGUGUAGCGGUGAAAUGCGUAGAUAUAUGGAAGAACACCGGUGGCGGAGGCGGCUCUCUGGUCUGUUACUGACGCU
rnacentral:rRNA from 1 species